UACGGGGGGGGGCAAGCGUUGUUCGGAAUUACUGGGCGUAAAGGGCUCGUAGGCGGCCAACUAAGUCAGACGUGAAAUCCCUCGGCUUAACCGGGGAACUGCGUCUGAUACUGGAUGGCUAGAGGUUGGGAGAGGGAUGCGGAAUUCCAGGUGUAGCGGUGAAAUGCGCAGAUAUCAGGAGGAACACCGAUGGCGAAGGCAGGUCUCUGGGCAUUAACUGACGCUGAGGAGCGAAAGCGUGGGGAGCGAACAGG
rnacentral:rRNA from 1 species